rnacentral:rRNA from 1 species
GACGUAGGGUGCGAGCGUUGUCCGGAUUUAUUGGGCGUAAAGCGCGCGUAGGCGGCUUUGUAAGUUAGAGGUGAAAGCCCGGAGCUCAACUCCGGAACUGCCUUUAAGACUGCAUCGCUAGAAUUGUGGAGAGGUGAGUGGAAUUCCGAGUGUAGAGGUGAAAUUCGUAGAUAUUCGGAAGAACACCAGUGGCGAAGGCGACUCACUGGACACAUAUUGACGCUGAGGUGCGAAAGCGUGGGGAGCAAACAGG